rnacentral:rRNA from 1 species
CCUACGGGAGGCAGCAGUGAGGAAUAUUGGUCAAUGGGCGAGAGCCUGAACCAGCCAAGUCGCGUGAGGGAGUACUGCCCUAUGGGUUGUAAACCUCUUUUGUCGGGGAGCAAAAGCCGGACGUGUCCGGCUGUGAGAGUACCCGAAGAAAAAGCAUCGACUAACUCCGUGCCAGCAGCCGCGGUAAUACGGAGGAUGCGAGCGUUAUCCGGAUUUAUUGGGUUUAAAGGGUGCGCAGGCGGAUUUUUAAGUCAGCGGUAAAAUCGUGGGGCUCAACCCCAUCCAGCCGUUGAAACUGGGGAUCUAGAGUGUGCGAGAGGUAUGCGGAAUGCGUGGUGUAGCGGUGAAAUGCAUAGAUAUCACGCAGAACCCCGAUUGCGAAGGCAGCAUACCGGUGCACAACUGACGCUCAGGCACGAAAGCGUGGGUAUCGAACAGGAUUAGAUACCCCUGUAGUC